rnacentral:snRNA from 1 species
GUGCUUACUUCAACAGCACAUAUACUAAAAUUGGAAUGAUAAAGAGAAGAUUAUCAUGGUCCCUAUGCAAGGAUGACAUGCAAACUCAUAAAGUGUUCCAUAUUUUC